rnacentral:rRNA from 1 species
UGAGGAAUAUUGGUCAAUGGGCGGGAGCCUGAACCAGCCAAGCCGCGUGAGGGAAGAAGGCCCUAUGGGUCGUAAACCUCUUUUGUCAGGGAACAAAAGCGAGUAUGUAUACUGGUCUGAGUGUACCUGAAGAAAAAGCAUCGGCUAACUCCGUGCCAGCAGCCGCGGUAAUACGGAGGAUGCGAGCGUUAUCCGGAUUUAUUGGGUUUAAAGGGUGCGUAGGCGGCGGUGCAAGUCAGCGGUAAAAGCCCGGGGCUCAACCCCGGCGAGCCGUUGAAACUGCAGUGCUAGAGAAGGCGAGAGGUACGCGGAAUGCGCAGUGUAGCGGUGAAAUGCUUAGAUAUUGCGCAGAACUCCGACUGCGAAGGCAGCGUACUGGCGCCUGACUGACGCUGAGGCACGAAAGCGUGGGGAUCGAACAGGAUUAGAUACCC